rnacentral:rRNA from 1 species
AUGGACAUGCACAUGGUGCCUUGCGACACCUCAUUCACGGGUCCAAACAACCGACUCAUGGGCAUCUCACCAGACAACCGGCUCUUCUUAAUGCAUUAUUGUUACAUGGUAGCGCCUAACGAGUUGGGGAAGCUCAUGCUCAAGCAAACCUAUCUCGAGUUUUCCAAUGAAGAUGACAUCCACACCGGCAAGACAUGCAGAAAACGCAAAAUUAUGCUGGUGGAGCAAACGAGGAAACAGAUGAUGGUGGUGACUCGCUAUGUCCACACAAUCAAGUUGUGGUGGUUUGGCGAGAAGAGCGGCAUCCUGUUGUUCACAAUGGGAGAAGGGAGCGGGGAACCUGGCACCUACAUGUUGAAACUUCAGGAGAAUGCCGUUGACAAGUUGGCGGAGGAUGGCCACUUGUGGAAAAACUUGCUCGGGUACGAGAUGGAUAUGACGGCUUACCUUACCUCGUUCAGCCAAGCCAUAUAUUCUUCAAAUGAGUGA